rnacentral:rRNA from 1 species
UACGGAGGGUGCAAGCGUUAAUCGGAAUUACUGGGCGUAAAGCGUGCGCAGGCGGUUUGUUAAGUCUGCUGUGAAAUCCCCGAGCUCAACUUGGGAAUUGCAGUGGAUACUGGCAAGCUGGAGUACGGUAGAGGAAGGUGGAAUUCCCGGUGUAGCAGUGAAAUGCGUAGAUAUCAGGAAGAACACCCGUGGCUAAGGCGGCUCUCUAGUACGGUACUGACGCUGAGACGCGAAAGCGUGGGGAGCGAACAGG